rnacentral:rRNA from 1 species
AUUGAACGCUGGCGGCAUGCCUUACACAUGCAAGUCGAACGGUAACGGGCCUUCGGGUGCCGACGAGUGGCGAACGGGUGAGUAAUGUAUCGGAACGUACCUUUCAGUGGGGGAUAACGUAGCGAAAGUUACGCUAAUACCGCAUAUUCUGUGAGCAGGAAAGCAGGGGAUCGCAAGACCUUGCGCUGAUUGAGCGGCCGAUAUCAGAUUAGCUAGUUGGUGAGGUAAAGGAUCACCAAGGCGACGAUCGGUAGCGGGUCUGAGAGGAUGAUCCGCCACACUGGAACGGAGACACGGUCCAGACUCCUACGGGAGUCAGCAGUGGGGAAUUUUGGACAAUGGGGGCAACCCUGAUCCAGCCAUGCCGCGUGAGUGAAGAAGGCCUUCGGGUUGUAAAGCUCUUUCGGCCGGGAAGAAAUCGUAUCAGCUAAUACCUGGUGCGGAUGACGGUACCGGCAUAAGAAGCACCGGCUAACUACGUGCCAGCCGCCGCCGUAACAC